rnacentral:misc_RNA from 1 species
UCCCGGUUUCCCCAUUCGGACAUCUGCGGAUCAAUGCUUGUUUGCCAGCUCCCCGCAGCUUUUCGUAGGCUACAACGUCCUUCAUCGCCUGUGAUCGCCAAGGCAUCCACCAUAUGCACUUAGUCGCUUGAUCCUAUAACGCUAAUGGCUAUAAAACCGUCUUCCAGCAACCGUCUUGCUCUGACAUGAUACUUUGCGCAUUUGUGCCGUUCAUAAAUCACUGGACAUCUUGAACUUCGAUGGUGGAAUGGGCGGGCGGUUGCUAGGACGCGUUGGAGAGGGGACGGGGGAUCCGCGCCGCG